GGGAAGGUAGCUCAGUGGUAGAGCACAUGCCUUGCAUGCAUGAGACCCUAGGUUCAAUUCCUCAGCACCA
rnacentral:tRNA from 1 species